AACGAACGCUGGCGGCAUGCCUAACACAUGCAAGUCGAACGAGACCUCCGGGUCUAGUGGCGCACGGGUGCGUAACGCGUGGGAACCUGCCCUUAGGUUCGGAAUAACUCCCCGAAAGGGGUGCUAAUACCGGAUAAUGUCUUCGGACCAAAGAUUUAUCGCCUUUGGAUGGGCCCGCGUUGGAUUAGCUAGUUGGUAGGGUAAAAGCCUACCAAGGCGACGAUCCAUAGCUGGUCUGAGAGGAUGAUCGGCCACACUGGGACUGAGACACGGCCCAGACUCCUACGGGAGGCAGCAGUGGGGAAUAUUGGACAAUGGGCGAAAGCCUGAUCCAGCAAUGCCGCGUGAGUGAUGAAGGCCUUAGGGUUGUAAAGCUCUUUUACCCGGGAUGAUAAUGACAGUACCGGGAGAAUAAGCGCCGGCUAACUCCGUG
rnacentral:rRNA from 1 species